rnacentral:rRNA from 1 species
UACAGAGGUCUCAAGCGUUGUUCGGAUUCAUUGGGCGUAAAGGGUGCGUAGGUGGCGCCGUAAGUCAGGUGUGAAAUUUCGGAGCUUAACUCCGAAACUGCAUUUGAUACUGCGGUGCUUGAGGACUGGAGAGGAGACUGGAAUUUACGGUGUAGCAGUGAAAUGCGUAGAGAUCGUAAGGAAGACCAGUGGCGAAGGCGGGUCUCUGGACAGUUCCUGACACUGAGGCACGAAGGCCAGGGGAGUAAACGGG